rfam:Anopheles atroparvus strain EBRO unplaced genomic scaffold supercont1.411, whole genome shotgun sequence.
AAAAAGGUCCUUUUCAGGACCACCGACAAUUGUUAAAGAAUAGUUCU